rnacentral:tRNA from 1 species
UAUGCGAGAGUAUAGGAGGUACAGAAAUUUUUGAUAUUUCAAGAUCUAGUUUGAUUCUAGAGCGCAUAA